rnacentral:rRNA from 1 species
GUCCACGCUGUAAACGAUGAGAACUAGACGUUGGGGAGUUUAAUCUUCUUAGUGUCGAAGCUAACGCGAUAAGUUCUCCGCCUGGGGAGUACGGCCGCAAGGUUAAAACUCAAAGGAAUUGACGGGGCCCGCACAAGCGGUGGAGCAUGUGGUUUAAUUCGAUGCAACGCGAAGAACCUUACCUGGUCUUGACAUCUAGCGAACUUUUCAGAGAUGGAUUGGUGCCUUCGGGAACGCUAAGACAGGUGCUGCAUGGCUGUCGU